CAGCCGUAAACUAUGCUCGCUAGGUGUCAGGCAUGGCGCGACCGUGUCUGGUGCCGCAGGGAAGCCGUGAGGCGAGCCACCUGGGAAGUACGGCCGCAAGGCUGAAACUUAAAGGAAUUGGCGGGGGAGCACAACAACGGGUGGAGCCUGCGGUUUAAUUGGACUCAACGCCGGACAACUCACCGGGGACGACAGCAAUAUGUAGGCCAGGCUGAAGACCUUGCCUGAAUCGCUGAGAGGAGGUGCAUGGCGUAGACGUCU
rnacentral:rRNA from 1 species